rnacentral:rRNA from 1 species
AAAGUCUAACCUGCCCUAUGAUUUAUUAUUAAAUGGCCGCGAUAUUUUGAUCGUGCAAAGGUAGCAUAAUAAUUAGUUUUUUAAUUGAGAACUGGUAUGAAUGGUUGAACGAGAAAAAAACUGUCUCAAUUUAAUUUAAAUUAGAAUUUUAUUUUUAAGUUAAAAAGCUUAAAUAUUUUUAAAAGACGAGAAGACCCUAUAGAGUUUUAUAUAAGUUUAUAUUUUAAAAAAUUUUAGAAUUUUGAAAUUUAAUUAUAAUAAAUUUGUAUUUCAUUGGGGUGAUUAAAAAAUUUCCAUAACUUUUUUUAGAUUUAAACAUAAAUUUAUGAAUAGAUGAUCCA